ensembl:lncRNA
UCCUUUAACUACGAACCCUCCGCGCUGGCUGCAUUGUCUAUAGUUAUGCCCCUGGCGCAUAUGCACAUUUUCUAACACAGCGCAGGUACACUCAAUUAAAGCCAACAGCAAAUUAACAAAAUACACCUCUUUCAACCACAAGUAAGAGAUACAUGACAGCGACUUCACGCAGAGGCUCUGGCUUAGGGGCCCCCUGAGCUCAUGGGCCCCUUAAUCCAUCCCUGAACAGUACCCAACUGCCUGAGGACACGCGCUGUACCUGGUCUGUAGCCCAGUUUUAUUGAUAUUGGGAAUUUUAUAUGUGUUUAGUUAUGAUGGCUGGCUUGGACUGGUCAGCAGGACUGGUGGAAAGAAUGAACCAAAUUAUCAAGAGCAAUCUCUUAAGUGCAUCCCAUAGCCAUGAAUAAUUGCGUUAAAAAACCCAUCACCUGUCACAACAUUGUUCACGUCCUCUUGCUGGCCAUGUUGUAGUGUUUAACAGGAGCGUGAAGGUGUGCCCUUACGGAUCCCGGGUGCAGCAUUCAGCCUGUGUUGCAGCUGUCACCAGCCAGUUAUCCACUGCUAUUGUAUCCUGCCACCCUACUAUGUUUGUAUAACUAAAACUGCCCAUGCACCAAGCAAGUCAGCACAACUAAACAUAACUAAAUCUAUAAAACUGGGCUACAGACAGCGUAUGUUGUAUCGUGAAGGAGUGCCUUUACAGAUCCCAGGUACAGCAUAUGGCACAUUUUGCAGCUGUCACCAGCCAGUUGGGCACUGUUGUGUGUCCUGCCACCCUUACUAUGCUUGUAUGACUAAAACUCACCAUGCACCAAGCCAGCCAACAUAACUAAUAACAACUAAACACAUACAAAAUCCCCCAAAUCAACAAAACUGGGCUACAGACAGUGUUAAUUGCCAUCCUAAAUGUAUCUCCUUAUCUGUUUAUCAAAUUGAUGUCUACUAACAAAAUGUUCCCUCUUAUAGCAUGAUCCAAAUGCUGAUGGAUGUGGAAACAAUGCUCCUCAUCACCAUUGGUCCUCAUCUACAUAUAUUGGCAGCCAAACUCUACCCACUCACUCUGUUUCUUUCUUCCCCUCCCAGUCUAGACUAUCUUCGCUGUGGGAUGCUGCUGUAGUUUCUACUUGUAGAAACCCUCUGCCCACAUGUACUCAUUACCACCGUACUGCGUACAUUUAUAUGCAAUAUAUAUAAUUGUCACCAUCGACAUGUUACUCUUUUCAUACUCUACUUACCCAUGUAACAGUAACCCUAUGAGCACACUGAAUACCCACUAAGCUGUUUUUGUAUGCAUCAUUUAUAUACCAUAUGAUGUUUGUAUAUAUAAUAUGUACAUCUACCAUAUGUAUGCUGUGUACAUUUACCACUUGUUGUUUCCCCUAACCUUCUGCCAAAGGACCCCUCCAUCUCUUCCCGGCCGACCUCAAGCAGAUGGGUCCCCCCUUAUAUGCCGCGGUUCUGCUUAAGGUUUCCUCCUGAUUAACAGGGAGUUUUUUUCUUGCCCCUUGUGCUUAGUCUAAGGGUGUCCAGGCACUGGGCUCUGUAAAGCUCCUUGAGACAAAUCUAUUGUUUUGGCACUAUAUAAAUAGAAUUGGAAUUAUUUUUUAAAUUGAAUUACUGGGCUACAGUCAGUAUACUGAUUCUUUCGCUAAGCCGCCUUCCUGAGUCUCUUACUUGAACCAACUUUGGCGUUUCAUCAAGGAUUCCCAAGAACAGCAACAUCUUUCAGUUGCCGUUUCCACCCAGUUUCCAUGAUAAAGUACAAAGAAGAAACUACCCGGAGAGACCAUUCAAACGGUGAGUGAAUCUUUUACUUUAAAGCUGGAAAAAAGAACAGACUUGCUGUGCAAGUUAAAGCCAGUUAGCAGGAGUAAGGUCUCUGUCAAGUGGCUAUGCGCAUAGACUUGGCAUGCCAGGGCAGUUAUUGAUCAGAGCACCUUUAGUUAUUGAUCACAGCGUUUUUGAUUUGCUGUCAGAGUAAACUGCAAUCAUUGCAUCGUUGGAUGGGUUGUAGCUAAAGGAGCUAUAUGUUCUUUGGGUGGUAAAGGUCAUUAUUGAUCAGAGCGUGGCGUUUUAAAUUGCUGUUAAAAUAAUUUAAACUCUCAGUUCAAGCUGACCACAUAAAAGUUGGAAAAGCUUUAUUAAUGAUGAUUGUAUGGGAAUUUAGUAAUGGUCUCUUGUUAUGGACGUGACUAUGAGAAAUGGGUUAAUGAUAGAAGUUGUUUAUUCUGGUCAUAUGGAUGAAAUGCCACAUUCUAUGGAUUUUGUGGUACUGCCGCAGUUUUUUUUUGUGUUUUCAGAGCCAACCCCCCAGGAGCAGCAUGACAGGAUCUGGAUGAAGAACCAAUGGUGCCUCUGCUGCAAUGACCAAGCCAUCACCGCGGUCCAUGAUCCACCUCACCUGUUGGACAGCAGUGACAACACUACAUAAACUGGACCUUCAUGUUUCCACCACACAACAUUCAAGGACUUGACUGAACUACCUGAACAUCGGAUGAUCAGAGAUGCUAAGUUGCCACUCACAGCUCACGGAAGGUGAGUGUCGCUGUACAAAAGCAGGACAGUAAAAGAAUUUUCCCCAAAAUUAGAGGAUAUUAAAGGGUUUUUCGCUUUUACCUGUGAGCUCAGGAACUUUGCCAUCUUGGUUGCAAGAAACAACCGAUUAAUACGUGUGUUUGCACCAAAUGUAAACAAAAGGUUUAAACAAUGUUGGAUUGUUUGAUCAUGAUUAUGUCCGAUUUUGUUUUAUUAUGGUUUUAUGAGGUUUUAUUAUGAUCAUUAUGCAGUUUCAUUUAUGAUGGGAUUGUUAGAUUUUGGUGGAUUUCAAAUACCAGAACAUAGUAAUAGAUCCAUACGUAGUCUCAGGCGGAUUUGGAGCCAGAGCCAUUAGACUUGAAGGUUGGAGCCAGGCAUUUAGCAUUUAGAUGGCCAUGGUUAAGCUAAACCCCCUCUGCCUAGCAUUUUCACCUUUAUCUAGCAUAAACUAGAUAGACUUCAUCCUGACACCUUAGCAGAAAAUAUGGAAAAAAUGUUACAGAAACAAAAUGCUCUCAGAUCUCUCUGUCCUCCAAGCCCAGCCCACUGUGACAGAAAGCCCAGAAACAAAGGGGGGUGGAAAGCAAUAGGCUCCACUCGUCUCAACCCUGGUGAAGAAAACAACACUGUCCAGAGGGGUAGAGGAGCCGAGGGGUAAAGGAGCUGAGGGGUAGAGGAGGCGGGGGGAGGCUGAGGGGUAGAGGAGCUGAGGGGUAGAGGAGCUGAGGGGUAGAGGAGCAGGGGGGUAGAGGAGCAGAGGGGAGCAGAGGGGUAAAGGAGCCAGGUGGAGGCUGAGGGGUAGAGGAGCUGAGGGGUAGAGGAGCUGAGGGGUAGAGGAGCUGAGGGGUAGAGGAGCAGGGGGGUAGAGGAGGCUGAGGGGUAGAGGAGCAGGGGGGAGGCCGUGGGGUUAGGCGAUCCUAUCUCUGUAAAUCAUUGCAGGUUACAAGAAACUGCACCUGUGAGAUUGGUUUGGUGCACUUUCUGGAAUGUUUUAUUUGUGGAAAGGUUUCUUUGUGGAAAAGCGUCUUAAUGUCUUGUGUAGGAAUGAUGUUACUUUAUCUGUGUUUAUUGGCAACCUGUACAUGUUGUGUGAUACCCCGCAUCCAAAAAAUGUUAUGACUAAUGUGAUAGUUAACAUGGUUGACACUCAACAACUCACCAACACAAAGUGUUUAGUGUCAGUGAAUGCUGACUUCUUUCUAUAUCAAUCUUGUGUGAUGUGUUUAAUUAUGCUUCUCUCUCUUCUGCUGCAGUCUGAGCGCUCGCUCUCUCUGGCCUGCCAGGACGUGAGUGAGCCCGACAAGCUUGUUGUUGUUGUUGAAUAAAUAUACUUAUAUGCAACUCUGGAGUCCUGAGGUAACUUGAGUGCAUUUUCACCUAACAUCUGUUAUUACGUUAGUAUCCCCUCUGCUGGUUAAAGAACUCUGGUAGCCAUGUGCCUCUUGGGUUUGUUUUGUCAUGCCACGUUUUCUGUUUUUGUCCUUAAACUCCGACCCUACCUGCCCUCUGCCACUAUCUGGAUUUUCCUGUCACCAUCUACCACACCUGUUCUGUUAAUUAGUCUGUUUGUUAUCCUCACGAGUUUCUCGUGCCUCUUGUUUGCUUCCCACCAAUUAUCUCUUUCCCCUCUGGUAUUUAAGUUCAGUCUGUCCUGUGUCCCCUGUCUGAUUGUAACAUUGAAUUUGGUUGGUAACUCUGAGUCCUGUCCAAGUCUGUGAGUGUUUCUCUGCUUCACUUCCGUGGAUACCCUGUCCGUGUGGAAAAGUUUUGGAUUUUUGUGUUUCCCUUUACUCUGCCUUUGUUGGAUAUUUGGAUUUUUUUGUGUUUUGCCCUUUUUUUUAUACUUUGUUACCUGGAUCUUUUGUGUGUUGGAUUUGUGGACCUUUUAAGUUUUACUUUUUGCAAAAUAAAUUCUAAGUUCUUGCUGGC